UACGAAGGGGGCUAGCGUUACUCGGAAUUACUGGGCGUAAAGGGCGCGUAGGCGGCGCUCCAAGUUAGGCGUGAAAGUCCUGGGCUCAACCUGGGAACUGCGCUUGAUACUGGAGUGCUUGAGGAUGGAAGAGGGUUGUGGAAUUCCCAGUGUAGAGGUGAAAUUCGUAGAUAUUGGGAAGAACACCGGUGGCGAAGGCGGCAACCUGGUCCAUUACUGACGCUGAGGCGCGACAGCGUGGGGGAGCAAACAGG
rnacentral:rRNA from 1 species